rnacentral:rRNA from 1 species
GUGCCAGCMGCCGCGGUGAUACGUAGGGUGCGAGCGUUGUCCGGAUUUAUUGGGCGUAAAGGGCUCGUAGGUGGUUGAUCGCGUCGGAAGUGUAAUCUUGGGGCUUAACCCUGAGCGUGCUUUCGAUACGGGUUGACUUGAGGAAGGUAGGGGAGAAUGGAAUUCCUGGUGGAGCGGUGGAAUGCGCAGAUAUCAGGAGGAACACCAGUGGCGAAGGCGGUUCUCUGGGCCUUUCCUGACGCUGAGGAGCGAAAGCGUGGGGAGCGAACAGGCUUAGAUACCCUGGUAGUCCACGCUGUAAACGGUGGGUACUAGGUGUGGGGUCCAUUCCACGGGUUCCGUGCCGUAGCUAACGCUUUAAGUACCCCGCCUGGGGAGUACGGCCGCAAGGCUAAAACUCAAAGGAAUUGACGGGGCCCCGCACAAGCGGCGGAGCAUGCGGAUUAAUUCGAUGCAACGCGUAGAACCUUACCUGGGUUUGACAUGGAUCGGGAGUGCUCAGAGAUGGGUGUGCCUCUUUUGGGGUCGGUUCACAGGUGGUGCAUGGCUGUCGUCAGCUCGUGUCGUGAGAUGUUGGGUUAAGUCCCGCAACGAGCGCAACCCUUGUUCACUGUUGCCAGCACGUUAUGGUGGGGACUCAGUGGAGACCGCCGGGGUCAACUCGGAGGAAGGUGGGGAUGACGUCAAGUCAUCAUGCCCCUUAUGUCCAGGGCUUCACGCAUGCUACAAUGGCUGGUACAGAGAGUGGCGAGCCUGUGAGGGUGAGCGAAUCUCGGAAAGCCGGUCUCAGUUCGGAUUGGGGUCUGCAACUCGACCUCAUGAAGUCGGAGUCGCUAGUAAUCGCAGAUCAGCAACGCUGCGGUGAAUACGUUCCCGGGGCUUGCACACACCGCCCGU